UGCCAGCAGCCGCGGUAAUACGGAGGGUGCAAGCGUUAAUCGGAAUUACUGGGCGUAAAGCGCGCGUAGGUUGAUUGGUCAGUCAGAUGUGAAAGCCCCGGGCUCAACCCUGGACGUGCAUUUGAAACAGCAAGACUUGAAUACUGGAGAGGAAAGCGGAAUUCCUGGUGUAGAGGUGAAAUUCGUAGAUAUCAGGAGGAACACCGGUGGCGAAGGCGGCCAUCUGGUCGGGUACUGACGCUGAGAUGCGAAAGUGUGGGGAGCAAACAGGAUUAGAUA
rnacentral:rRNA from 1 species